CAGUCAGUCAGACAGUCAUCAGUUGGACAGGAUGGAGCUCCGUCCACUCUGUGUGAUGUUCUUGCUGACUGAACUCAUCCUCUGUACACAAACAGGUGAUUUAGGUUGCACUAACACUUCCUGUCAGCAGCUGUACAUGUGAAGGAUCAUUUAGUGCCCUCAUAUUUCUGC